rnacentral:misc_RNA from 1 species
CGGAAGGGGAAGGGGCCG